rnacentral:misc_RNA from 1 species
UCAACCCUCAAGCCCUGCUUGCUGUUGGACCCCUCGACGAAAGUUGACGGCCCCCAAAGAUAAUGACGGCGUUGUGGCAACCCCCAGAUGCAAUGAGCCUUAACACGCACGCGUCACGGGCGGGUACCACGACCCCAGUCUUUAACAAUUAUUCUAA